GCAGACGGCGGAGAGCUGGGAUGGAGCGCGCCUUGGCCCGCUGGCCUUGGCUGCAGCUCCUCGGGAGAGCCGGGGCGCCCACGCGAGAACCUCCCUACCUGAGGACGCUGGGAACACGGAUUCCUGGAUCCCACCAGCCUACGAAGAAAGCCACGGGCGGCGACCCCUGGGACCAGGACGACCAAGGAGGAGGACGACCAGAACUGACCAGCCAGCCCCCUUGGCUAAAGGCUUAGACCUGUGCCCUAGUGAGGGGGCAUUGGUCGCCAACCCCUGACCUUUGCUAUGCUUCUGCCUUGUUGCUCUGAUACUUGCCUCUAUGUCUCUGCCUGUGUUAACCUGCCAGCGCCCUGGAGGGUUGCCAUCCCCAGGGAGGUGUCAGUCUUUCUCGCUCCACUUGUUGUCGCCCGAAUGACGUCCUGAACGGAAGGGUCCCUUUGGGAACGUCUCGGGAGGCCGACCUGGGCCAAGGGCACAACCAGCAUCUCACUGGCAAUUCCAAGGCCCUGGGUGGGCUUCUGGAAUGAGCAUGAGCCCCGACGUCAUGCCACGGAACUGCCAGGGGCACCCCCCCUCCUUUGAGCUCUCCCUGUCCCUCCUGGGGGGACAGGGACGAGAAGAGCAGUCUCCCAGGGGGUUGUGAGUAUUGAAUGAGAUGAAGUCGCCUCGGGCAGGGCCAGGCAUAGAGGAGGCAGUCGGCAAAUGUUUGUUGAUAAAGUUUGGCCGAUCAGUCAGUCCAGCCCCGGCCCGCUCCCGUGUCUCACCGUCUCAUUUAUUCUCCCACAGCACUCCGGAUGGCCCCUGGCCACGGGGCUCUGCCCGCACCAGGUAGGGCUCCACCCAGACGGGCGUCGGGCUGACAUGAGUCAGGGCACGCACUGUGCCUGUGGUCAUUUCUAGAACUUUCUGUGUUCUCGGCCUGCGUUGUUACUGCGUCAGGCUUACGUGGGAGUGAGGCGGCCCCACUGACAGGAGUAUGAAUUUGGCUUCGAUUUGAGUAAUUUUAAAAGGUGACCUCCAGCCCCCACCCCAGGGGCACAGGACUGAUUUACGUGUCCUGAGGUCCUGAGGCUGGAGGAGCGUUAGCAUCUUGUCGCAUUGCUGGCAAGAGAAGGGGUCCAAGUUGGACCCUGGGUGCCAUUUGUGGCUGCCCCUUACCCCCCCUGCCCCAGAGUUCUCCUGAGCGCUCUUUGAUUUCCAAUCAAACAUUUGACAGUGGGACAGCCUGUUUGAAAUCCCAGCUGCCCAGGGUGGUCUCGGGGGGUCUUGGGUGGCCCCAGUGCUGGUACCAUGUGCUGGGACCACCUCUCAAUAACGGUGUGACCUUAAAUACGUCGCUUAACUUCUCCGGGUCUCAGUUCUUUUCAUGGCCUAAAUGGGGAUUAGGAAAAAAAAAAAAAAACACACACAAAAAAACACCCGCGUUUAUCUACCCCACAGGGUGCUUUGGAAGGCCAAAGGAUGUAACUGCUAUGAAAGCGCUUUGUCAAUUGCUGGGGAAAUUGCGAGAUGCCUCACAUUGGGGGGCUGUCCCUCAUUGUCCCACACUCAGCCCUGUCCCCCCUCCUCACCCCAGGAAUACCAGCCAGCACCCCAUAAAUAAAUUCCGGAAUAAGUAAAAACAGUUAAUUCAACAAACAUUUUCUGCACCUCCUACCCUAUGCCCAGCCGACCAGGCCUGAUGAACAGUCUCGAGAGAGCUAAUUGGGGUCCUCGUUUGACCGCCACUUUCUUCUCGUCCCCUUUUAAGCCAACCAGUUUUGUCCGGACGAGACAAAAACAACGGGGCCCGCUUUAGAGAACCGGGGCUUGGGGUCCACAAUGGCUCCCAGACUUCUGAAAGGGGCUGAUUGGAUUAUGUGGCAAAUGAAGGUGGAAGGAUGACUUGGAGGGUGACAAAUGAAGGGGGCGGAGAUCCGCUGCGAGUUAAUCCAGGCCAUUAGGAGGGACCUUUUGUCUCCUGAGGCUGGCAGGAGCUUUUACCACUGGGUCUGACGUCCUUAAUGUAAGGACGCAUAAUUUAUGGUCCGUGAAAGCCCAGGCCCUGGUGAGAUCUGAGCGGGCUGUAAAAUUGAGCCUCCGGCUACCGGGGCGUGAGGACAGUGGAGGGGGACGGUGGUGUCUCCCUUUGCAGUUGGCAAGGGCCUUUUCGCAACCAUCCAUUCACGUGAACCUCACAACUCCCUGUCCCGACCCGGGGCUGGCCUGCACCUCCGCGGGGAACAGAGGCCGUCAAGGGCAUCCCAAGGGAGCGUGUCCCCCCCCACCCCCAGCCCCUCCCAUCUCGACGAGGCCCUCCCUCCCUCUUCCUAACCUGGCCUUCUCUGAGCCUCCAGGCGACCCCUGCCUCCUUUCUCGUCACUCUCUCUUUCCUUUCACAGCCAAGCUUCUCGAAAGGUCUGUCUUCACUCGCUGGCUUCCUUGCUCACCUCCAAUGUCCUCUCCAACCCACUGCUUCUUGACCUCUGCGCCGUCGAGCGGCUCUCGCGAAGGUAAUGACUUUUCUGGAGCUUCACCCCCAACACGUCUCUGGCGCACGGACACAUGGACACACAGACACACGCUCCGCAGACACAUCUGGUCUUCCUCGUACAUGCCUUGUGGCUCUGACUCCCUUCUGUUGACAGACGCCCCCUCUCCCCUCUCUGGAGACGUCUUAGAGUCACCUGCUCCUGGCCUCUGUCCUUCUUAGCCUCUCCCAGGAAUAGCCAGACCUCCCACCUUCUGGAACCUGCCUGGGUUGGAGUCUGAACCACUGAGCGCUGAGGGGGGGGGGGGGAAGCAAAAAAGAGAAAGGGAAAAGGAACCAAGAACCAAAAAAAUAAAAGUGGGGAAGGGAGCCUUGGAAAAGAUUAAAAUCCACCCCAAACACAUCCAGGGAAAAUUUUCUUCUUGGGUUAGGGGCGAAGAAAGUACAUGGGAAAAAAGGUUUUAAAUUGAUGAUCCCAGCAACAAAUCCCAGGAGGCUUUCAAGUCAACUCGCCCCAUUUUUGUGUUUUUAACUCCUUCUGUCAGGUCUCACCUCUUUACCUUCUGCAUCCCAGUUAAACCCUCCUCGGCCCCCUUGGCUGGUGAUUAAACCCCGAAGGUACACGGGGCCGACAGAAAGGGCCCCGCCCCGCCCCCCAGCUGUGUUUUUCAAUUUUCCUCCACUUCGUGCCCUUCAUGAACACAGGGCUAAUCUUGGGCCCUUGUCGAGGAAGAGGCUGAUGAAGUAGCUGCUGGGUUCCAAUAUUCAACUCCCAAGGUGCCUUCUUUGUCUGAGAAGGAAAAACACACUGGUCACCACAAUAAGGUGAAUUGGUGGCCGUGGGGCGGGGGCCACGGGCCUGAGGCCACCCUUGCAAUAUGGGGGCCGGAGCCCAGUGUCCACCUGCUCCCCAUUUGUCCCUGCCUCUGUCCCUGCUCAUGGUCCCAUCCUGCGGGGUUGAAAGCUGAAGGCAGCUCUGGGCCACGGAUAGGGCUGCUUGGUAGAAAGUUCCUUUGUUUGACCCCCCAGUGGGCCGGGGCGAGCCAAGCCCUGGGGGUGCUGUUUCCAGUCCUUGCUCGUCCCCGACGUGUUUCAGGACUGCCUAGCAUGAAACAUUUGAGAUUCUCAGACGAGAGAAAAGUCAGGUCAAGGGUGUAGACCCUGCGGCAUUAUCACGGAGUCAGUGGCCAAAGGCCCCGUCCAGGUCAAGAAGUGAGCGGGCAGUGGUACCCACAGCCCCCCUCCCCCCCAUGGAAGGGCACGAUUCAGGCUGGCAUUUGGCCCCCACACACUGAUGAGACUGAGGUUCAGAGGGCCAGACGUUUGUCAGGAUCAUUCAGAUCCGACACGAGAACCUGUCGCCACUCCUACCCCCCAAACGUCGCCCCCCCCCCCGUAUGUCCUGGGCCCCACCUGAAUCCCCAGUCCCCCCCUUUCUGUCCUGAUCCUUGACCGCCAGCGCCCAUGAAUAGAAACCUGCCUGUGUUUUUUUUAAAUUGUUUUUAUUACAGUUAAUGGACAAUGUCCUGUCAAUUUCUGCGACGCCGCAGAGUGACCCAGUCAUACGUAGACAAAUACGUCUGUGCAUAUUCUUUCUCUCACAUUCGCCUCCAUCGUGUUCCAUCACAAGCGAGUAGACAGAGUUCCCUGUGCUGCCCAGCAGGGAAACCUGCCCUUAGGAAUCCUGAGUUCUGGGCAUUUUGCCCCCUAAGGUCGCUGAAUCAAGGUUAGAUCACGCCAGUUAAUUUCCAGGCUCCAGCGAGAUCUUCAGCCGAACAGAAAAAAACUAAGGGAGAUGUGAGAUGUUUGGAGCAAGAAACUUUUAUUAGGUGAAAAGCCCUCCCUUCUUGAACUUAGCUGUUGGCAUGCGUGGAUCAGAAUUAGAUGCUCUUUGCAAGUUAGCAAAAGCAACCCUAGUCCCCUCCGCUAAAUGCCAUCAAAGGAUGUCCAGGGGGCUGGUUGGGGUGACCGCCUCUUUUGGCGGCGGUGACCCACGUGUUGCCCAGACCUGGGAACUGGAUGAGGGCGAGCACCUUUGAGAGUAGGGAUCCCACGAAAACCUACCCUCCGUGCAGCUUUUGCAGAGUAAAAUAAUAGAGCAGUUGCUGGUGUUUCUAAAAAGAUUUCACUUUAUUAAUUUGUUUUUAUUACUGUUGAUUCACAAUGUUCUGUCAAGUAAGAGGAUUUAUUUUAAAUAGGAAAAAAAAAUCCAUAGGACCGUCAACUACAUACCAAUAAGGAAAACCAAGUCCUGAAUAUUCUGGCAUUUGAGAAGCUGGGGAGGGGUGCAGGCAGUUGUGUGCUGAGCCCCCCAGCAGAGGGGUCUGUGUGAAUUGCUCAGCCUCGGGUGUGGAGGGGCCGGUUUUAACCUGUGUCCUUGUUUCUGUGGCACACGGGACCCCUGGGCCCCACUCUCCAAGCCCAGAGGUCCUGCCAGGCUUCCUGCCUUGGUCUUCCGACUCCCAGGGCCCACGGGUUCCAGAAUCCAUCAUGAAAUCAGUCCUGGAGGCUCAGGAGUGAGGCCAGGAGACACCCCCCUUUCUUCUGAUUUUCCGUUUUGUUUUUUGUUUUUUUCUGCUCUUACUGCUCUCCCUCUGUUCUCCACCCUGGCUUCUCUCCCUUACUCUAUCACCAUGUCCUAGUCUGGUCCCCUGGGGGUGCCCGAGUCCAGCCCACUCCUCCUUGGGGUGUCCCAGCACCAGCCUGGCACCAAGUGGGGUUCAGUAAGAGUAUGUGGGAUGUCUGCUUGGACAGGUGAGUCAAUGAAGGAACUCGACUGCCCGACUCAGCUGCUAGACGGGAGUUGUGGGGACGGCAGGGAGUUGCAGGUCCGGGGGGAGGGUGGACGUACUUUCCCUGAGAGGAGUGGGCGCCGCCCACCCCCAGCCCCGUUUGAGUGGGGCCUCACCAGUGUCACCCCUUCAUUCACUCACGCGUCCACCCCGUCAUUCAACAGUUGAUCCUUACUGAGCAAGCCCACCGCCUGGCCCCGGGCUGGGCACCUGCCACGCUAGGGCGUCCCUUGAUGGCCUCUACCUCCCCAGGAGGGCGGGCCGGGGGGCUGCUUCUGCUGAGGGUGGCCUUGCGACUCCAGGGCGCUGGAGCAGCAGCUCCUGCUCCGGAGAGAAGGCAGCGGGAGGAGGGUGCGAGGGGUGGGCUGGUUUGCCUCCGGCCAGUGGGCCUCCUUUUCAGUCAACUCCCCCCUGCUCCAGGGGGAGCCUUGAACCUGCCCUUCUCUAGGGCUCUGCUGCCAGCCCGAGCCAGCCCCUCCUGCCCGCUUGGCCUCCCCCUGCCCCCCAAGACCCACCCCAUGGCUGAGUGCUGAUGACUCUUCUGGACCCUCAGCCCUGAAGUUCAGGACUGAGGUGGGGGCACAGGGACAGCUGUGGUUCAUGCGUGUCCCCUCGGGCUCUGGUCCCACAGGUCUCCUUCUGGAGUUGGGGUCUGUGAGCUGGACCCCUCCCUCCGUGACGCCUUCCUCCCUCCUCUGCGCCCCCAGUCGUUGGCUGGGGCCUGUCCAGGGCAAAGGGCAGAUGACUGGGGGACCUCCGGGGAGCAUUGCAGGCUCUGCCAAGGCCUGGCUGCCCACCUGUUCUCUACCUGGCGGUUCCUUCCCUGCCUCCCUCCCCCCAGCCAGGGUGCCUGCCCACCUGGAGCUCUGCUUGCCCGGCCCGCCCCUCUGUGCCCCCUGUCACUGGGCUCAGGAUCUUCUGGGUCCUGGCUGUGCCGCCCUCUGCCUAACAGGUUGUUUUUCCCGCUGCCUCGCCCACCUCCCACCUGCGUGCCUUUUGCCCUCCCCGUCCCCUGGUACAAGGAAGCCCUCCCCGCUCAGGGCCGCCCAAGUUUCCAGUGGGUCUCCGGUGCCCCGGGAUAAGGCCGAGCUGGCCCGCCACCUCCCCCGGUCAUCCUCAGAUGCCUCUUCUCCCGGCCGUGGCCCCUCAGGGUCUUAGUGACGGUGGGCUGCAACCAGAUUUUUGUCCUGCUCCCCUCCCCACACCCCCUAGACCCCUCGUCAUCGGGUCCUGCUGGGCCUGCCCAGAUGGCUGCCCUGUCCCCCUGAGUCCCAGGCCCUGCCCCACCCCAGGCCCCGUGGCCAGUCUGGGGGCUGCCACCCGGCCUGUCGCCUCUCUUCUUGCACCUCUUCCCAUCACGGCAUCCCCACGAGCCACCUCCCUCCACAGAAAGCCAAGCCGCAGGUCGGCCUGUCCUCGACGCACUGGCAGCGAGCGUCGGCUGAAGAACCGGAUGGAAGAGGCGGGAGAGUCACCACGGACCGGCGUUCCUUCAGGUCGGUCGCCUGGCGUCUUCGGGCUGCGACUCCUUCCUGGAUCGGGCUGAAGCCAUCAUCUGUGUCCUCCGUCGGAAGGGACCUCAGACAUGUGGCUCCUGCACCCUCCAGCUCUGAAAUCGGCAGGCUAGGAUGCAAGUGGCCUUGCUGGGGGGCCCUUCCAAGGGCCGAGGGACCAGCCUCUCGAACGGGCUCGGCGCUCCAGUGACCUUCGCGUCCCCCUCCUCCUUGAAUUGUCUGGAAAACAGAAUGGACAGAUUUUCUGUCUUCAAAGUUUCCGGCUAAACCUCUUCAAAGUUCUUUAUUGUUUGGGACUGAGACACUCAGCAGUGCUAAUGGGUAGUUCCUUUUGUAUUUGCCCUGAAAGGCCAAAAUAUUUUUAUAUCGCU
rnacentral:lncRNA from 1 species